rnacentral:lncRNA from 1 species
UAUAUAGUUUUGUCUUCCACAAGGUUCUGAUUACAAUGCGGAUAAACUCGCCGCAAUAUUUUCAAAGUAUACAAAACACCUGUCGCCUUCUAAAUGGUUUGCAAUCGCAUAUAGAGAAGCAAUAUCUCACACGCGUUCGUGUGAUAUUUUAUAUUCAAGAACAUCACAGAAUUUUUAUGAUUUUGAAGUCGAGUUUCGACGCCUGGGUUUGCUGACAUUGGAUUGUUGGAGAGAAUAUUGUAAGCGUUCGUUAUCAAGAA